rnacentral:rRNA from 1 species
UACGGGGGGGGCAAGCGUUGUUCGGAAUUACUGGGCGUAAAGGGCUCGUAGGUGGCCAACUAAGUCAGACGUGAAAUCCCUCGGCUUAACCGGGGAACUGCGUCUGAUACUGGAUGGCUUGAGUUCGGGAGAGGGAUGCGGAAUUCCAGGUGUAGCAGUGAAAUGCGUAGAUAUGUGGAGGAACACCAAUGGCGAAGGCAGCCCCCUGGGUCAACACUGACGCUCAUGCACGAAAGCGUGGGGAGCAAACAGG